GAAUGCUGACAUGAGUAACGACAAUGGGUGUGAAAAACACCCACGCCGAAAGACCAAGGUUUCCUGCGCAACGUUAAUCGACGCAGGGUUAGUCGGUCCCUAAGGCGAGGCUGAAAAGCGUAGUCGAUGGAAAACAGGUUAAUAUUCCUGUACUUCUGGUUAUUGCGAUGGAGGGACGGAGAAGGCUAGGCCAGCUUGGCGUUGGUUGUCCAAGUUUAAGGUGGUAGGCUGGAAUCUUAGGUAAAUCCGGGAUUCUAAGGCCGAGAGCUGAUGACGAGUGUUCUUUUAGAACACGAAGUGGUUGAUGCCAUGCUUCCAAGAAAAGCUUCUAAGCUUCAGGUAACCAGGAACCGUACCCCAAACCGACACAGGUGGUUGGGUAGAGAAUACCAAGGCGCUUGAGAGAACUCGGGUGAAGGAACUAGGCAAAAUGGCACCGUAACUUCGGGAGAAGGUGCGCCGGUGAGGGUGAAGGACUUGCUCCGUAAGCUCAUGCCGGUCGAAGAUACCAGGCCGCUGCGACUGUUUAUUAAAAACACAGCACUCUGCAAACACGAAAGUGGACGUAUAGGGUGUGACGCCUGCCCGGUGCCGGAAGGUUAAUUGAUGGGGUUAGCUAACGCGAAGCUCUUGAUCGAAGCCCCGGUAAACGGCGGCCGUAACUAUAACGGUCCUAAGGUAGCGAAAUUCCUUGUCGGGUAAGUUCCGACCUGCACGAAUGGCGUAACGAUGGCGGCGCUGUCUCCACCCGAGACUCAGUGAAAUUGAAAUCGCUGUGAAGAUGCAGUGUAUCCGCGGCUAGACGGAAAGACCCCGUGAACCUUUACUAUAGCUUUGCACUGGACUUUGAAUUUGCUUGUGUAGGAUAGGUGGGAGGCUUUGAAGCGUGGACGCCAGUUCGCGUGGAGCCAACCUUGAAAUACCACCCUGGCAACUUUGAGGUUCUAACUCAGGUCCGUUAUCCGGAUCGAGGACAGUGUAUGGUGGGUAGUUUGACUGGGGCGGUCUCCUCCUAAAGAGUAACGGAGGAGUACGAAGGUGCGCUCAGACCGGUCGGAAAUCGGUCGUAGAGUAUAAAGGCAAAAGCGCGCUUGACUGCGAGACAGACACGUCGAGCAGGUACGAAAGUAGGUCUUAGUGAUCCGGUGGUUCUGUAUGGAAGGGCCAUCGCUCAACGGAUAAAAGGUACUCCGGGGAUAACAGGCUGAUACCGCCCAAGAGUUCAUAUCGACGGCGGUGUUUGGCACCUCGAUGUCGGCUCAUCACAUCCUGGGGCUGAAGCCGGUCCCAAGGGUAUGGCUGUUCGCCAUUUAAAGUGGUACGCGAGCUGGGUUUAGAACGUCGUGAGACAGUUCGGUCCCUAUCUGCCGUGGACGUUUGAGAUUUGAGAGGGGCUGCUCCUAGUACGAGAGGACCGGAGUGGACGAACCUCUGGUGUUCCGGUUGUCACGCCAGUGGCAUUGCCGGGUAGCUAUGUUCGGAAUAGAUAACCGCUGAAAGCAUCUAAGCGGGAAACUAGCCUUAAGAUGAGAUCUCACUGGGACCUUGAGUCCCCUGAAGGGCCGUCGAAGACUACGACGUUGAUAGGUUGGGUGUGUAAGCGCUGUGAGGCGUUGAGCUAACCAAUACUAAUUGCCCGUGAGGCUUGACC
rnacentral:rRNA from 1 species